ensembl:lncRNA
CCUGAAUUUUAUCAUUUAAGAGAUAUGCUAUUUUUUUUUAAAUCUUAUAUGUGUCCUUAUGUUGAUAAAUUACCAGCCUUAAAAGUAUAUAAAUUUAAUGAUAUAAAUCUUAAGUUUAGUUACAAAAAUAAAUUGAAUGUUAAUGUGUAUAACAAAAAUAUUGAUAUUUGUGGUUAUAUGUCUCAAGAGAAGGAUACGAAAAAUAAUUUUUUUUCUUAUAUUUUUCAAUUUUUUCAAACACAAGAAAAUAAAAAAAAAAAUAAUAAUAUUUUAACUUACUCGGAUCCUAAUAUGUAUACAAACACAUACAUUGAAAACGAAACGGAUGUUUUAUUUAUAAAUGAUUUACCAUUUUUUCAUGAGAGUUUAAAUUCGAGGGAUGUUGAAAUGUUGUUACAAUAUUUAACAGUACCUUAUUUGAGAAUACCACUCAUUUUAGAAUUUUUUUGUGACAAAAUUAGAAUAAAGUGUUUAGAAUCGUUUGAUAUACAACAAUUAUUAUUAUGUAUUUUGUUCGAACCUUAUAUAUUUAAAAAUAAAUAUAAAGAUGUGUUAGAAGAUAAUCAUAUACCAGCAAAGGAUAAGAAUAUAUUUGGGACAAAAUAUGGAUUAUUGAUCAAUGAAUUGAUUCAUAGUCCUAAAAAUGUAUUAUGUAGUAUUUAUUCUUAUUUAGAAUUAUUAUCCAAUCUUGAUAACGAAACGAGUGUUAAUAUGGAACAUAAGUCUGGAAGUAAUAGUAGCACUACUAGUAGUGCAUUAAGUACAAAAGUGAUAACCGUUUUUAUUAUUAUACUAUGUACGUACAUAAAUUCGUACAUACAAUUGAUUGUACAAACGAAUAAAGAAAUAAGAUUAAAUUUGAUAAAUAUUAGAAAUAUUUUGAUGAAAGAUUGUUUGGUAAAUAAGUCAGGAGUGGUAAGAGGUAAUGUUAACAAAUGUAACGAUAGUGAUCGUAAGGAUGGUAAUAAAAAGAAUGCUAGAAUACGAAAAAGACAAAAAAAAAAAAAAAAAAAAAAAAAAAAAAAAAAAAAAGAUAAAAAAGUUGGGAAAGGGUCAGUCGGUGAUAGUAGUAGUAGUAGUAGUAGUAGCAGUAAUAGCAGUAGUAGCAGUAGUAGUAGUAGUAGUAGUGUAAGUGGCAGAAGUAGUGUAAGUGGUAGAAGUAGUGUAAGUGGUAGAAGUAGUGUAAGUGGUAGAAGCAGUGUAAGUAGUGGAAGUGGUAAAAACAACAAACCCUUUUCUGAUUCCGUUUUCAAUUGUGACAAUAAUGACACAGUUGUGAGGAAAGGUGAUGGGACAAAUAUAAAUAAUACUUUAAUUGAUAUAACUCAAGCGACUGGGGACAGUAGUUCUAAAGCAUCUUUUUUAGAUAAUAAAAAUAAUUUAGUUGAAAGGAAACAAAUAAAAAAUGAAAAAAAGGGUUCUGGUAUUGAUAAUGUAAAUGUAAACAAUAAACAUACAAAAGAAGAAAUAAAAAAUGAAAAAAAUAAGAAGGAAAGUAAAAAAGAAGGUAAAAAAGAUAGUAAAAAAAACAACAAAAUAAGUAGUAAAAAAAAAAAAGAAAAAAUAAAUUUAAAAGAAAUAGAACAUAUUGGAUUGAGAGAAAUAAUAUAUCGUAAAGAUAUGGAUUGUAUAUUUAUAUAUAGUAUAUAUUAUGAUAUUAAUAGAUUUAUAAAAAGAUUAUAUUAUUGUAGUGAUGUAAAAAAAAUAUAUUUUGCUACAAAUAUUAAUAAAUGUCGAAAUUUAUAUUAUCACUUUGAAAAUAAUAAUGUACGUUUAUGUUAUUUUAAUAAUAAAGAUUUUUAUGAAAAGUAUAAUGUGAAUAUAUGUAGAAAUAUAUAUAAUAAUAUACAAGUAGAAUCUUACUUAAAUCCUCAUUAUUUAUGUACAUUUAUACCAAAUAUUUUAAUACAGUCGUAUAUUUUUUGGUAUAAUUAUAAUAACAGUUUGAUUGGGGAAUUAAAGCGUACUAAUAAGAACAAAAAAAAUAGAAAUACGAUAAUUUUUGUUAAAUUGUUUAAUCAGGAUGGUAAGAAAGAACAGAAAUCUGAAAUAAAGGAUACACAAACUGGAGGAUAUAAAUCGACAAAUGUGGAUGUUACAAGUGGAAAUAGUAAUAACGUAUGUUUUCCUUUUGGUGUUAUACAAAAGUUAAAAAUAUCUAAUACAAUGAAAAAUUCAAACAAUAAAAUAACCUAUUUAAAAAUAAAUAAAGAGUAUAAACCAUUAACUCUUGUUAAUAUAUUAAAUUUAGAGAAUAAUGAAGUAUACAAUGAUUUUUAUAAUACACUUUUGAAAUUAGAUCAUAUAACUUAUAUAUUAAUAUAUACAUUAAAUGUACCAUGUUUGUUUGAAAAUAACAGUAAUUCAAGUCCUGAAUUUCAACAAGAGAAGGCGAGAACUUAUUUUGAAUGUAUGCAUAACAAAUUGAUUACAAUAGAUUUGAUUGAACUUCCUAGACUUAAUUUAACACUUAAACGGAACAAUAUCGAUAUGAAGGAAGUAGGAUAUGGGAAACCAGGUCAUACAAAUGCGAAUUCCAAUGUAGAUAAAAACGAUAGUAACAAAAAAGAUAUAUUUAACUACUAUUUCGAGGAACUUAGUAUGUCUUUAUAUAAUGGGAGCAUGCAAAAAUAUACAUAUAUUUAUAAUGUGAUAAAAAAAAUGAAUAAUACUAUAUUAUUACAAAACAGUAAAAAUGAGUUAUUUUUUUUAGUAUCAAUUUUAAAUAAACCAUUUUUUUUAAACAUCUCUAAUUUGUAUAAAGAAUUUAACAAUAAGAAUAUUCAUUUGUGUACUUUGUUAGAAAAACAUAUUAAUGUAUUAUUAAAAAAUUAUAUGUAUGUAACAAUAUAUUAUCACAACUUUAAUAUUAAUACAAAAGUAAAUAAAAAUAUUGAUAUAUUUAAUGAUAAAAACGAAAAUGGUACGAGUUGUUCAAUGCAAUAUAUUGUUUUAUCUAUUCACAGUUCUAAGUUAUAUUUAGAUUUUCAAAAUGUGUAUAGUUGUUUUUUUUUUAUUGUAUAUAAAUAUUUAAAUAAAGAUCAUGAAGAAGUGAUUGAAUAUUGUAACAAUAUAAGUGUAUGUAAAGAAGAUAUAAAAGAAAUAAAAUAUAUGUUAAAUAUAUUAAAUUUUUGUGAUCAUACUAUUUAUUCGGAUGUUGAUUCUUGUGCAUGUAGAUUAAAAAUUUUUUUAACUUUAUCUAAACAGAUUAAAAUUAAUAUAAAAAAAAAAAAACAUCGUGUUUUUACGAAAUCUAAAACAAAUUAUUUAGAUGAUUAUUAUAAUAUUUUUAAUUAUGUUAAAUCAUUGUGGAAAUUUGAUCAAACAGACAAAACAGAUGAACUUAGCAAUGACGAAUUGGAUAUGAGUGAAAAUGAUAGUGGUAGGUAUAAAACAGGGCAAAAGAAAUCCAGUUUGAAUAAGAGUAAAACGGGUUGGAAAAAAAAAAAUAUGAACAUUAGUACCAACCGUGGUAAUAAAAAUGACAUAAAUAACAGCAGUAGUAACAGUAGUGAUAGCAGUAACAUUAGUAGUGGAAUUAGUAGUGGAAGUACAAGUCAAAGUUAUGGUUUGUCUUAUGACGAUGAUAGUACAUAUGUAUUAUCUGAAAACGAAAAUAAAAAAAAAGAAUUACAUGCACAAGGGAAAUUAAGUAGUGCAGGAAAUGAUAACAAACGUGAUUUAACUACAAGUGAUUAUACUAGAGGAAAAAAAAAUAAAUUGUACGAUAUGCAUUAUGAUAAGUUAAGUGGUAAAAAUAGUAAAAACAAAAGUGAUAAAAAAAAAAAAAAAAAAAAAUUACAACAACAGUGUCAAGUUGCAAUAGGUACAGAAAAAGAAAAAAAACAAAAAAGUAAUAUAAAUAAUAAUACACAAAAUAAGGGUAUGAUUCAUGAUAGCAGCUACAAUAACGGUGAAAUAGGUAUCGAUAUAUAUUGGGAUGUAUUUAAAGAUAUUUUAUUUUAUUUAAAUAAUUUAAUUUAUGUAAAAGCGGAAUGUAGAUUAACAGUAGAUGAAGAAUUAUUUUUUGUAUAA